ensembl:lncRNA
CGCCGCGCCCCGCCCCCACCGCGACCUCUCCGCGCUGCGCUACACGUCCCCGCGACCACGAUCCUUCAGGCGAGGAGACCCGGGAUCAUGGUCCCGCUCUGCUGCCCGUCAGCGGGCGGCUUUUCAGCAGAACCCACGGGGACCCUGUGGAGAAACGGGAUGCGGAAUCUGUGAGCAGGAGCCGCUGCUUUUUCCUUCACUUGCUUUGGCCUCAACCUCGGGGAUUGUUGCGGGAGGAUGAGCGUGAAGAGGAAGAAGCCUGGGCUGGUCAUCAGCUGGCAGAAGUCCUUCUCCCUCCUGGCUCCUUGGAGGAAAGGGAAAGGAGACAGAGACGCGGUUCUGGACAGAGAGGUUGUUCUGACCAAAAUGAAGCUCUUCAGCAACAUCCACAAGAUGCUUCCGACGGCCGACGACUCGGCCUCCACCAUCUCAACUGUGUCCGUUUCGGAGCAGGACGUCUGUGACCCCAGCAAACCCUCUGAAGUACGUUCCCACCGCGUUGACGAGCCGGGCCGGCUUCAGACGGAGUCCGUCUCACGGCACCCGGCCUCGGACUCUCGGCUGACGAGGUCGUACAAGUUUGAGUCGGAGGACUCUGGAGUGGAGCUGCCCAGCGGCGCGGACUCUCCGUCCACCCCGACGAGCUCUGAGCAGAGCUUCACUGUCCACAGCCGAGAGUCCUCCUGCAACCGGAACUCCGACGCCGGCGCCGCCCCCGAUGACCUGGUGCCACUCACGCAGCUCCCGGAGAGCAAACAGGCGCCGGGCUCAGCGGACGAUGGUGCGAGUGCAGCAGCGGGGGCUCUGAAUGACGGUUUCAUACACUCAGAGGAGCUCAGUUCAGCCGUGGGUGCAGAGCGGCGCGCAGGUGAGGAGGUGGACGGGGACCAGAGCGGGGGGUCGGGAGCCAGCCCUGAGAGAGACGAGGACAUGCCGGGACAGCUUGAGGAAACCUGCGCCGAAACCGAGAGGACCUGCUUCCGAGGAGACGGCAGCCACUUCGAGCCGGCGCCUCGGCGGAGCCGUGAGACCAGAGACAGCCUGGAGGACUACAUGGACCAAUGCUGCAGACUGAGUGAGGCACAGCAAGCGAGUUCCAACCCUCCGGGCUCGGGCCUGGAUUACCUGGAUCACAUCUGCCAACUCAUCGCCAGGAUCGGCCACCUGCAGGAGAACAACCUCCAGCUGCAGCGGCAGAUCUACAGCCUUCAGAAGGACAGCAGGACGGCAAAGACCAAAGAGGACUUUUUCCAGCAUCACUGCAGCUGUGGGGCGGCCUGCUUGUCUUUCCAGGACAUUCAGAAGAGACAGUCCAGAAGUGACUUCUCGUCCCCCAGUGGGACCCUCUCUGACCUGUCCACCAUCCCCGAGGUCACCCGGCCUCCACUCUUACCAGCCCGAGGAGACUGCAGAUCCCAAGAUGUUGCUUUGGUGGGUUCAUCGUGAUCACAUCUGAUCAGAAUUGAUGGAACCAACGAGCAGCAGCAGGAAAUGCAGGGAUGAAGUUAUUACCAGUAACUUCUCUAUAUGCAACUUACUGUAAUUCAGUAAAGGCACUAGGCUUCGUUCUUUGGUGCACACUGUUUCCCAACCACGAAACAGUCGUUUUCUCUGGAGGUCACUGAAUCCACCCUAAACAAACACACGUGCACGACUGCAUAUUAAUGUUUUCCUGACGUGUUCCUCCAUUGGAUCAGUUACUCCAGGUAUGCUAUUGGAAGGCUCUCGUAGGGCUUAGGUUUCCUGCUAUCAUUAUUGUUUUCGUGGCAGGUCACGGUGGCUGACCGCUGGGUGGUCCUAAGGGGAAAAUUAAAUUAUGACUCAAGUGGGACACGGGGCGGAAUUCCCGGCAUCCCGCUCAGAGUCCACAGGAACAUAUGAUGUCCCGUGGACUCUGGAAUGCCUUCGUUCUUCCUCUCAAAGUCAGGAAACUGGAUCUGGAGAAGAGGUUAAGAAAUCAGGACGGGGUGGGGGGGGCAGAUUAGGUACAAUAAGGGUUAAAUAGCUCUCGCUGGGCCACGGUGAAGUAGAACCAUACAGGGUUAAUUUAGUUCCCAACGGAUAAUACGUGGCGGUUCCUGGUAGAGCCUCUUCUGAAGGUUGCAUCUCAGUUCUCCAUGGACUUGGAGGAAGGCUUACAUUGAUGUGGGAUGUGGCAUUCGCUGACAAACAGGAAGAGGACAUAUAGUACCUUCCUUUCAACAACGCAAAGUGCUGCACAUCAGUGGUCCCCCCCCACCCGGGUCCCGGUGCCGUGGGCACCAAGCCGCACAGGAAGAAUAAAUAACCUUUUUUUCUCCAAAUGACCCAAUUCUCUUCCCAAUUACAAGAACGUGUCCCUUUUGUCACGUGUCAACUGGUUUCCCGACGCCUGCGUGUUUGUGCUGUGGUCCUUGCAGAGCGCCACAGUAUUUGGCGUUAUUCCCUUAGUGAGCUGGAACCACGUCUGUGUGGAGGAAACCUUCUGCUGUCGGGGGAUGUGAAACCUUGUCUUAGAGCACUAAUCUAAGCAGACAGCUCUGACUGGUACUACGAUGGAUCUGUAUCCACUCGCAUCGCCUGCUUUCAAAGAGUUGGAGAUAGAAUAGUGAUGCAUUACAUGCUGUGAACUUGGCCACUUUCGAUGGCUGCUGGUCCCCCACACACUGGGGUCCAACAGCGAUGGACGAUGUUUCAGACAUGAGCGGUGCGGGUUUGACACCCGUCCAACUGUGGAGGACGGGCUUGUACCGGAGGAGUUACACCGAGGGGGAAGAGCCCUUCCUCAGCCACAGCACCGAGGCGCUCUCCAUCCCCCAGCGAAGGCUCAGCGAAAACUGCACAUGGGGACGAGUCAAAGACCUGGUGAGGAAGACUAAGGUGAAGAACCAAAGCCGGCUGCGCCUGAAUUCUGCCUCCCUGGAGAGGUCCUGCCCACAGCUCUACAUGCCUGACGUGGAACCAUUAGAACCCGCUUGCAGAGACAGGAGCUCCAUGAUAGCCUUGGGCCACCACAGCAAACUGGACGUCCCUUGGUUACAAUAAACAUGGAGGAGGGACACGCAUCCGUUCUGGGAGAAUAACCACCACGCACCAUCCAGCAAUCCUCAAGCCAUUAUUUUAUUAAAGGCUGUUGAAGUGGUCCGAUAAAGGAUGGGCUCCGGGAGAGAAGGGACACAUUCUGGGGCUUUACAAUCCACUACAUGAUGCGGCUGCUGCAAUGCUGCCAUUUUUGGGCUAAAAAAAUAAAGAAAAAUUGACUUGAUACACAACUAAGAUUACUCGGAAUGUGCCUCAGUCUGAACACACUUUCAGAAGCUUGUAAACGUUAAAGUUGGCUGGACGUUUUCUUUGGAAUGCACAGUGCAAAAUAUACUAAAUCAAUAUUGUAAAGUUGAUAUUCUCGCUAUCAAAAGAACAUUUCUUGAUCGCUAAGUCACACCCUCAUCUUUGCACAAUGGAUGGAGAACAAACGAUAAUAACACAGAUAACAAUUGUCAUUUGUUUAUGUCAGAGUAACAAACAGCUGGUUGGUUGAUUGGGACAUUGUGAUGCAUUUCAUUUCCAACGUCACACUUGUACCAUUAUGUGGUUUGGAUGUCAGGACUCUACUGCAUGCUAUUGUACUCCAAAACGGGAAAACUGUAAGUAAACUAUUGCAUUUAAGUAGAAUUUUGUAAGACAAUAACUUUUUCUAAUAAGUUAUAUCUGAGGUUUAUCUGCAUGGCGUCAGACAACUAUAUAUGUAUUUUAUGUUUCUGUAUGGAUAUUGCAUUCAUAUUCAAAUGUAUUUUUUAAUAAAAAUUCAAUCCAAAGGAA